rnacentral:rRNA from 1 species
CCUACGCGUGGCAGCAGUGGGGAAUAUUGCACAAUGGGGGAAACCCUGAUGCAGCGACGCCGCGUGAGUGAAGAAGUACUUCGUUAUGUAAAGCUCUAUCAGCAGGGAAGAAAAUGACGGUACCUGAGUAAGAAGCCCCGGCUAACUACGUGCCAGCAGCCGCGGUAAUACGUAGGGGGCAAGCGUUAUCCGGAUUUACUGGGUGUAAAGGGAGCGUAGACGGCAGUGCAAGUCUGGAGUGAAAGGCGGGGGCUCAACCCGCGGACUGCUCUGGAAACUGUCAAACUAGAGUACGGGAGAGGUAAGAGGAAUUCGUAGUGUAGCGGUGAAAUGCGUAGAUAUUAGGAAGAACACCAGUGGCGAAGGCGUCUUACUGGACCGAAACUGACGUUGAGGCUCGAAAGCGUGGGGAGCAAACAGGAUUAGAUACCCCUGUAGUC